rnacentral:tRNA from 1 species
UGGCAUGUAGCUCAACAGGCAGAGCAAGGGACUGUUAAUCCCUGGGUUGCUGGUUCGACUCCAGCCAUGCCAG